rnacentral:rRNA from 1 species
GUGGGGAAUAUUGCACAAUGGGCGCAAGCCUGAUGCAGCCAUGCCGCGUGUAUGAAGAAGGCCUUCGGGUUGUAAAGUACUUUCAGCGGGGAGGAAGGCGACGGGGUUAAUAACCCUGUCGAUUGACGUUACCCGCAGAAGAAGCACCGGCUAACUCCGUGCCAGCAGCCGCGGUAAUACGGAGGGUGCAAGCGUUAAUCGGAAUUACUGGGCGUAAAGCGCACGCAGGCGGUCUGUUAAGUCAGAUGUGAAAUCCCCGGGCUUAACCUGGGAACUGCAUUUGAAACUGGCAGGCUUGAGUCUUGUAGAGGGGGGUAGAAUUCCAGGUGUAGCGGUGAAAUGCGUAGAGAUCUGGAGGAAUACCGGUGGCGAAGGCGGCCCCCUGGACAAAGACUGACGCUCAGGUGCGAAAGCGUGGGGAGCAAACAGG